UACGUAGGGGGCUAGCGUUGUCCGGAUUUAUUGGGCGUAAAGAGCGUGUAGGCGGCCAGGUAGGUCUGCUGUGAAAACUCGAGGCUCAACCUCGGACUUGCAGUGGGUACGGGCAGACUAGAGUGUGGUAGGGGAGACUGGAAAUUCCUGGUGUAGCGGUGGAAUGCGCAGAUAUCAGGAGGAACACCGGUGGCGAAGGCGGGUCUCUGGGCAGUAACUGACGCUGAGGAGCGAAAAGCGUGGGGGAGCGAACAGG
rnacentral:rRNA from 1 species